rnacentral:rRNA from 1 species
UACGUAGGGUGCGAGCGUUAAUCGGAAUUACUGGGCGUAAAGCGUGCGUAGGUGGUUUGUUAAGUCUGUUGUGAAAGCCCCGGGCUCAACCUGGGAAUGGCAAUGGAUACUGGCAGGCUAGAGUGCGGUAGAGGGUAGUGGAAUUCCCGGUGUAGCGGUGAAAUGCGUAGAGAUCGGGAGGAACACCAGUGGCGAAGGCGGCUACCUGGACCAGCACUGACACUGAGGCACGAAAGCGUGGGGAGCAAACAGG